AGCAUAUCAAUAAGCGGAGGAAAAGAAACCAACAGGGAUUGCCCUAGUAACGGCGAGUGAAGCGGCAACAGCUCAAAUUUGAAAUCUGGCUCUUUCAGAGUCCGAGUUGUAAUUUGCAGAGGGCGCUUUGGCUUUGGCAGCGGUCCAAGUUCCUUGGAACAGGACGUCACAGAGGGUGAGAAUCCCGUACGUGGUCGCUAGCUAUUGCCGUGUAAAGCCCCUUCGACGAGUCGAGUUGUUUGGGAAUGCAGCUCUAAAUGGGAGGUAAAUUUCUUCUAAAGCUAAAUAUUGGCCAGAGACCGAUAGCGCACAAGUAGAGUGAUCGAAAGAUGAAAAGCACUUUGGAAAGAGAGUCAAACAGCACGUGAAAUUGUUGAAAGGGAAGCGCUUGCAGCCAGACUUGCUUGCAGUUGCUCAUCCGGGCUUUUGCCCGGUGCACUCUUCUGUAGGCAGGCCAGCAUCAGUUUGGGCGGUGGGAUAAAGGUCUCUGUCACGUACCUCUCUUCGGGGAGGCCUUAUAGGGGAGACGACAUACCACCAGCCUAGACUGAGGUCCGCGCAUCUGCUAGGAUGCUGGCGUAAUGGCUGUAAGCGGCCCGUCUUGAAACACGGACCAAGGAGUCCCCCAUCUAUGCGA
rnacentral:rRNA from 1 species